rnacentral:tRNA from 1 species
GGGGCGUUAGCUCAGUCGGUAGAGCAGUUGCCUUUUAAGCAAAUGGUCGGAGGUUCGAAUCCUCCACGCCCCA